rnacentral:rRNA from 1 species
GCAGAAGGGGAGAGUGGANUUCCAUGUGUAGCGGUGAAAUGCGUAGAUAUAUGGAGGAACACCGGUGGCGAAAGCGGCUCUCUGGUCUGUAACUGACGCUGAGGCUCGAAAGCGUGGGGAGCAANCAGGAUUAGAUACCCUGGUAGUCCACGCCGUAAACGAUGAGUGCUAGGUGUUGGGUCCUUUCCGGGAUUCAGUGCCGCAGCUAACGCAUUAAGCACUCCGCCUGGGGAGUACGACCGCAAGGUUGAAACUCAAAGGAAUUGACGGGAGCCCGCACAAGCGGUGGAGCAUGUGGUUUAAUUCGAAGCAACGCGAAGAACCUUACCAGGUCUUGACAUCCCUCUGACCGCUCUAGAGAUAGAGUUUUCCUUCGGGACGGAGGUGACAGGUGGUGCAUGGUUGUCGUCAGCUCGUGUCGUGAGAUGUUGGNNUNNNNNNCGCAACGAGCGCAACCCCUAUUGUUAGUUGCCAUCAUUGAGUUGGGCACUCUAGCGAGACUGCCGGUAAUAAACCGGAGGAAGGUGGGGAUGACGUCAAAUCAUCAUGCCCCUUAUGACCUGGGCUACACACGUGCUACAAUGGCUGGUACAACGAGUCGCGAGUCGGUGACGGCAAGCUAAUCUCUUAAAGCCAGUCUCAGUUCGGAUUGUAGGCUGCAACUCGCCUACAUGAAGUCGGAAUCGCUAGUAAUCGCGGAUCAGCACGCCGCGGUGAAUACGUUCCCGGGCCC